GAGGGAGGGGCACUGGGCUGCGGCAUGUGUGGCUUGACCCCUCUGGCCCCUGAGGGAGUUUUGGGGCCCUAUAGGCCCAUGGAGGCACAGCACCAGGCUGCAAGGUUAGCCCAGCCCCUGCUGGGCUGCAGUGAUUGUUGGGGCCAGGCAUGGUAUCCAUGGGUGAAGGGAAUGCCUCCUUGGCUCCCAGCUUUUACAGGAAUGCCAGGGACUGGGGCUGGGGCGUCCUGGGAGCAGGGAGGAACAGUCGCUGGAAGAUGUUCUGUUUUCUGAGACCCCAUCAGAGAAAAGCAUAGGCACUAUUUCCAAACCUUAUAGGUUUGCUCAAGAGGAUCUGAGGUCUGAAAUCAAUGUGUUUUCCAGACAAAUUCAUGGAAAGUGCUGGCAUGAGUAGUAAAGUGGAGUGCCCCCAGCUUGAAAGAAGAGUGAAGUUAUUUCAUGAAAUGUCACUGCAUGAUACCUUUCCACAUCUGGGAAACUUUUUCAUACUUUACCUAACUAUCCCAGUUACUACAGCAUCAGCAAAGAGAAGCUUUUCUUCAUCGUGGCAGCUGAAAAUUUACCUGAGGACUACGAUGAUAGAUGCUCGUGUUUCUGACCUGGGAAUACUACAGAUUGAAAAACAAGCUAUCAACAUGCCUGACAUCACUGCACAGUCUGCCAGCAGAAAGGACUGAUGACUACAAUUCUUCUAACAAGGUAUUUUGCCCACCCUCUCAGUGAUGCAGAUGAAGAGAAGAAAGAAGGUCCCAACAGAGCUUCCCAGGGUACCAAGCUAAAUAUUCUUUAUUUGGUUUGGCUUGUGGGAUGUUCCUGAACAUACCUGUGAUUCUGUUUGUUUGUUUGUUUUGUUUUCCUUAUGAUUCCUAGGUAAUUUGCCCACCACCUGCGAUGAAAAUGAAGAUCUUGAUAGAGUUUCCCAGGGCACAAAACUAAGUACACACUCUUUAUCUGGUUUGGUUUGAAUUUGAUUUGUGAGUGUGACUACAAGCAUAGCCAGGACCCGGCUGCCAGGAAGGCCAGGGUUCCUGUUAGUAGACCCAUGGUCCACCCCUAGCAGCAACAGCAAAGUGGUCAGGGAGAGCCAGGGGAACACCUGCAUUCACCUGACCUGACACAAAUCUUUGCCCCAUGAAGAUAGGAUUACUUAUGUGGAUGCUUUGAUAUGUUGCUGUUACUCAGUGUAUUGCCACAGAAGUAUAGGAGUGGAUAUGGGGCUUUUGGCCCACCCCCGGGCCCACCCACAAGUUGUGCCCCACCAGACACAGGAGGCACCAGUCACCCAUGAGCCUGCACAUGCUAUUUCUAAUGUUAUAUUCCACAACAUGUUUAACAGGUAAUUUCCUAGGUUAUCAAAUGGAUGAUCACACUUGUGGGUUUCUUUCAAGUGGUGGAUAUGUGUAAGAUGUACCUGGUUUUUGGUCUCACUUACACUAGUGAAAAUAUGAAGAAACACUGAAGUCAAUUCAUUUCCUGUGUUGAUGAGAUCAGAAUCUGUCUUUCAGCAUUUCAACAGUUAAUGAUAAUUUAUUUGUGAGAUGAAACCCAAUGGGAUCUAGGCCUCAUCUAUACGCACAGAAGUUUUACUAGUAUGACCAUGUUGCUCAGCCCAGAACUGAGGAAGGACAUUUUGUGCCCAAAAGUUUGUCUAACAUUUCUCCCAACUAUGUGGUCCAAUAGCAAAUGUCACUAACCAAACCUGGCUUCCCGCCAAGAACAUUUUCAGUCCUGAAGUAGAAACAAAAAUAGACAUGAUGGCUGCUGUCAACAGACAUUUAUCUUUGCUGGAAGAAGGAGCCAACUAACUAAAAGAUAAAUGAAUGGCAUACAAGAAAUCAUCAGGGGAUCAUCUGUAUGUUGUCAUAUGCAACACGCUGCAAGCUUAGGUUCUGACUGGACGACUACCAUUGUUCAUUAUGAAAUGACAUCCAAACACAUUACUAAUACAUGACCCAAAUCAACAACUGCGCACAGGGUACAGGGCAAGGAGUACAUAUCUUAAAUUGCAACAAGGAAAAUUUAGAUGGGAGAUUAGGAAGAACGUUCUCUGUAUGAGGGUGAUUAAACACCCAGCGACUGUGGAAUCUUCAUCUUUGGAAGUUUUUAAGAGCAGGUUGGAUAGUCAAACAGACACUUGUUUAGGAUGGUGUUGGAGUUUCAGUUUUGCUAAACUAUAGUCAAGCUAAGACACUGCAAAGGGCCUUGGGAAUAACAGGAUUCACUGACAGCUGGACGGCUUGAUAAAAGCCGCAGUAAACAAAAACACCAAUUCAAAGUAAGAAACAAUAGCUGGACAAGUUGGAAAGUAAAAAUUUAGCACUCACUAAAGUAGAGAUAAUGAAGCAAGCUGAAGAGGCAGGCUGAAGAUACUCAAACUCAAUAAGGGAAUGAGGUACAAAAUCCCAAACUCAGUAGAGAGUUCUAGAGGACUGACUUUGGGAGGGGGAAGCUCAAGGGGGCAAGAAACGAUCUGCAGUUGUCUGGAAUUGGCCAAGAGACAAGUAAAGAGGGACAUCUCAACAAAGAGGGAAAUAGCUGUUGGCACAGAGCGAGGGCAUCUAAGUUAUAAAUACAGGGGUUGCAAGUCUUACCCUUUUGUAGUGACUUGGGGGCAUCUGUGCAUGUAAUGCAUCUCUUACCAUUGUCUGGGCAGUUUUGCUGAGCUGGACUGGUUGCUAUGCAAAACUGCUAGCUACUGUCCUAAAAGACCUGUCCUAAUAAACCUAUCUGACCUUUCA